AUUGAACGCUGGCGGCAGGCCUAACACAUGCAAGUCGAACGAGUGGCGGACGGGUGAGUAAUGUCUGGGAAACUGCCUGAUGGAGGGGGAUAACUACUGGAAACGGUAGCUAAUACCGCAUACCAUCGGAUGUGCCCAGAUGGGAUUAGCUAGUAGGUGGGGUAAAGGCUCACCUAGGCGACGAUCCCUAGCUGGUCUGAGAGGAGAUCUAGCCAGACUGGAACAAAGGCACAGUCCAGAAUCCUACGGGAGAAAGCAGUGAGGAAUAUUGCACAAUGGGCGCAACCCGGAUGCACACAUGCCGCGUGUAUGAAGAAGGCCGUCGGGGUUGAAGGUACUUUCAGCUGGGAGGCGUUACCCGCAGAAGAAGCACCGUCUAACUCCGUGCCAGCCGUCGCGGUAAUAC
rnacentral:rRNA from 1 species